rnacentral:rRNA from 1 species
UACAGAGGUCUCAAGCGUUGUUCGGAUUCAUUGGGCGUAAAGGGUGUGUAGGUGGCGCGCUAAGUCGGGUGUGAAAUUUCGGAGCUUAACUCCGAAACCUGCAUUCGAUACUGGCGUGCUUGAGGACUGGAGAGGAGACUGGAAUUCAUGGUGUAGCAGUGAAAUGCGUAGAGAUCAUGAGGAAGACCAGUGGCGAAGGCGGGUCUCUGGACAGUUCCUGACACUGAGACACGAAGGCCAGGGGAGCAAACGGG